rnacentral:lncRNA from 10 species
AGCUUAUUUCUUUUUAUUGCUGAGUAGUAUUCUGUUGAAUAAUUAUACAAUUUAUUUAUCUAUUCAUCUAUUAGUGGAUAUUUGGCUUUGUGAUGUUUUUUUCCAACACCAACAAGCAAUUCUUCAGUUCUCAGACACCAACUUGAUGUCCAAAAAUUCAAUUCAAUUCUGACACUAAUUACCUAGGGUUAGCACAGAUCCUACAGGUUAAGAACUCAUCCUACAAGACUGCUGCCACUUCAGACUCCAGCUACAAAUGAGGUCCUCAGGCAACUACAUUUCUGCCAGACUGACUACAAGUUCAGGGAUUCUCACAACCCCCCUUCCAAGUCCUGUAAUUUGUUAGAACAACUCACAGAAUUCAGGAAAGCACUUACGGUUACCAAUUUAUUAUAAAGGGAACAACUCAGAAACAGCCACACGGAAGAGGUGAGUAGGGCAAGGGGUGGGAGCGGUGGGCAGAGCCACCCUCCCAGCACCUCAGUGUGCUCACCAACUAGGAAGCUCUCCAAACUCCUGUUGUUUAGGGGUUUCUAAUGGAGGUUUUAUGAUGCAGAAAUAGUUGAUUAAAUCAUUGGCUGUUGGCAAUUGAACUCAAUUUCCAGUCCCCUCUUCUCCCAAGAGGUUGGCGUGUUGGGAAGGGAGAGACUGAAAGUUGCAACCCUGUAAUCAUGUGUUGGUCUUUCUGGUAACCAGUCUCAUCCUGAAGCUAUCUAGGGGCCUCACGAUGAGUCACUUCAUUCGCAUAAACUCAGUUUGCCCUAAAGCCAGAUUGUCUUGUGAUUGGCCGCACCAAGAAGGCCUGGAGCAGAGAGAGUGGGAUUCACGGCUGAGCCUCUUCUGUCACCAACUCCAUUGCACCACAGACCUGGGAGUUGUCAUUCUACUGCUGACUGCCACAUUAAAGACGAGAUGAUCCUAGCAGGAAUCUGUAUUUCUCUUGAUGAGAAAAUGGAAAUAUUGUAUUAUGUUCAGAAAUUAAGUGUGAACACUUACUAAUAGAUUAAGUGACAUUUAUUCAAUGCUUCUUUUUUGUUUCUUUGUUUUUUUUGUUUUUUUGUUUUUUUUUUUUGAGAUGGAGUCUCACUCUGUCGCCCAGACUGGAGUGCAGUGGCGUGAUCUCGGCUCACUGCAACCUCCGCCUCCUGGGACGGAUUCUUCUGUCUCAGCCUCCCAAGUAGCUGGGACUACAGGCGCACGCCACCACACCUGGCUAAUUUUUGUAUUUUGUAUUUUUUUUUAGUGGAGACGGGGUUUCACCAUAUUGGCCAGGCUGGUCUCAAACUCCUGACGUUGUGAUCCGCCCGCCUCAGCCUCCCAAAGUGCUGGGAUUACAGGCGUGAGCCACCACGCCCGGUCUAUUCAAUGCAUUUUAUUUUAGAAAUUAAAGAUCAAAUAUUUAACAAAUAUUUGAUGGGUAAUAAAGUUUCAUGUUAAUGAAAAGAUGGUACAAGAGGAGUGGGUGAAAACAGGAAAUACAGCUCAGAAUUCCAGUUGUAUUUCUCCCAGUAGGAGCAUGAAUGCUGACUGUGUGCCAUGAUUUUCAGGUAAAACAAAAUGAAAUAAGACAUUCUUCCAACUCAGAAAGCUUACAACUCAGGGAGGUAAAGAGACUAAGGCAAAUAUCAAAAUAGUACAGUAUAUGGCUGGGUGCGAUGGCUCAAACCUGUAAUCCUAGCACUUUGGGAGGCCAAGGCAGGCACUGAUCACUGGAGGUCAGGAGUUCUAAACCAGCCUGGCCAACGUAGUGAAACCUCAUCUCUACAAAAAUAAAGAAAAAAUAAUAAAUAAAAUAAAAUAAAAAAUAAAUAAAUAAAAAAUUAGCCGAG